AGUCCGUCCUGUUAGUCCUGUUAGUCCGUCCUGUUAGUCCUGUUAGUCCGUCCUGUUAGUCCUGUUAGGCCGUCCUGUUAGUCCUGUUAGUCCGUCCUGUUAGUCCUGUUAGUCCUGUUAGGCCGUCCUGUUAGUCCGUCCUGUUAGUCCUGUUAGGCCGUCCUGUUAGUCCUGUUAGGCCGUCCUUCCUGUUAGGCCGUCCUGGAAGGCCGUCCUGUUAGUCCUGUUAGGCCGUCCUGUUAGUCCUGUUAGUCCUGUUAGGCCGUCCUGCCUGUUAGUCCGUCCUGUUAGGCCGUCCUGUUAGUCCUGUUAGGCCGUCCUGUUAGUCCUGUUAGGCCGUCCUGGAAGGAUUGGGGCUGGAGCGUAACAGGCCGCGGUAUCAGACGUCUUGUUUGAGUCCCAAAUUGCCACCUAUUUCCUAAAUAUUGCUCUACUUUUGACCAGGGCCUAUUGGGUAGUGCACUAU
rnacentral:lncRNA from 1 species